GAUGAACGCUGGCGGCGUGCCUAAUACAUGCAAGUCGAGCGAACAGAUGAGGAGCUUGCUCCUCUGACGUUAGCGGCGGACGGGUGAGUAACACGUGGAUAACCUACCUAUAAGACUGGGAUAACUUCGGGAAACCGGAGCUAAUACCGGAUAAUAUAUUUAACCGCAUGGUUCAAUAGUGAAAGACGGUUUUGCUGUCACUUAUAGAUGGAUCCGCGCCGCAUUAGCUAGUUGGUAAGGUAACGGCUUACCAAGGCAACGAUGCGUAGCCGACCUGAGAGGGUGAUCGGCCACACUGGAACUGAGACACGGUCCAGACUCCUACGGGAGGCAGCAGUAGGGAAUCUUCCGCAAUGGGCGAAAUCCUGACGGAGCAACGCCGCGUGAGUGAUGAAGGUCUUCGGAUCGUAAAACUCUGUUAUUAGGGAAGAACAAAUGUGUAAGUAACUAUGCACGUCUUGACGGUACCUAAUCAGAAAGCCACGGCUAACUACGUG
rnacentral:rRNA from 1 species